GAUCAUGGCUCAGGAUGAACGCUAGCGGCAGGCUUAACACAUGCAAGUCGAGGGGCAGCGGGGAGUAGCAAUACUCCGCCGGCGACCGGCGCACGGGUGCGUAACGCGUAUGCAACCUACCUUUAACAGGGGCAUAACACUGAGAAAUUGGUACUAAUUCCACAUAACAUUCGAGAAGGCAUCUUCUUGGGUUAAAAACUCCGGUGGUUAAAGAUGGGCAUGCGUUGUAUUAGCUAGUUGGUGAGGG
rnacentral:rRNA from 1 species